UCUGGAUUUUGCUCAUCGGUUAGGUUGGGAUAGAGUUGUUAGCUUCUACGUCUCUCUCUCUUUUCCUUUCUACCUAUCUUGAUUUUCUUUUGAAUCUUCAGAUUUUAUUUUCUUUCUGUUCUUUAUUUUUUUUCAUAGUUUCAGUGUUUUGACUGUGUUUUCUUCUUUUAAAACAUAUGCUGAGCGAAAAAUAGAAUAUUGGAUCAAUCUUGAAUUAUAAUCUUGAAUUGAUCCACAGCAAUGUAUAAGCAUAUAUGGGAAAAGUGCGCUUUGGACAUAUUUUCCAGGAAAAGUGAUUGUAUUGGCUAAAGAGGAAGAAGAGAGCAAAGAAAAGAGAAAAGGGAAAAAGAAAUGUUGACAGAAGAGAGAGAGCACAACCCAGCAUUAGCUAAACAAAGUCUUUGGUUUUGCAGGGAGUGUGCUCUCUCCUCUUCUGUCACCACCAUGAUCACAUUCAUAUUCCUCCAUUUCUUUCUUCUACCUUUCUCAUUCUCUCCAUAUACAAUACUACUGUAAGGUGGAUUAUUUGUUUUUCCUAUUAUAUAUACACAUAUUGCAUAUUGCUACUGCACUUUAUUAUGAUUUUAUUUCUUUUAUUUUCAUUAUUUAUAAAAUUUUUAUCCACUUCCUACAAGUACAUUCAAUUUUUAUUAUUAACUUUUCUACCUUACCGUUGUUUAUGGUGGCCAUGAAAUUGAAAGCAAUAUUAAUUGAAUACUGAAACUAGUAACCCAGUACAAGCAGCAAGUGGAGUUGGAAGGCUUGGAAAGGAAGGAGGAGCACUGGACAGAGUCAGUACCAUGAAGUCGAAGUAUCAGAGUCCAUUAAUAUGGGUCAUAAAAAGGCAAACACAAGUAUUAGCAAAAUUUGGAAAUGGAGUACUCAGAGAAAAUUGCAUUUGCAGAGAAUUUAGCAGUUUGGGAGGCUGACUUUGACAUGAAAAUGACUGUUUUUUUUACUUUUCUUUUUUUUUUUUGUUCUUUUUUUGUCCUUUUGAAUCUGAGAAUCAAAAUGAUUGUUUUCACCACUUUGUGCCAACACUACUGUUUCCUUAAUAUUUCAUUGUUUUAACCUUUUGGUGCAAACACUACAGUUUCCUGACCA